rnacentral:rRNA from 1 species
UUCUGGAAGCAAAGCAGGAUUUGGUCUGGUUAGUACUUGUAUAGGGUACAGUGGGAGAAUAUCAGGGAUUUCCAGAUA